CCUACGGGUGGCAGCAGUGGGGAAUAUUGGGCAAUGGAGGCAACUCUGACCCAGCAACGCCGCGUGAAUGAUGAAGGUCUUCGGAUUGUAAAGUUCUGUGAUGGGGGAUGAACACAAUGACGGUACCUUAGGAAUAAGCCUCGGCUAACUACGUACCAGCCGCCGCGGUAAUACGUAGGAGGCAAGCGUUAUCCGGAAUGACUGGGCGUAAAGGGGGCGUAGGUGGUUGGACAAGUUAGUAGCGCAACUCCGGAGCUCAACUUCGGAACUACUACUAAAACUGUUGGACUUGAGUGCAGGAGAGGUAAGUGGAAUUCCUAGUGUAGCGGUGGAAUGCGUAGAUAUUAGGAGGAACACCAGUGGCGAAGGCGGAUUGCUAGACUGUAACUGACACUGAGGCACGAAAGCGUGGGGAGCAAACAGGAUUAGAUACCCCAGUAGUC
rnacentral:rRNA from 1 species